AGGGUAAUAGCUCAGUGGCAGAGCACGUGCAUAGCAUGCACAAGAUCCUGGGUUCAAUCCCCGGUACCUCCA
rnacentral:tRNA from 1 species